rnacentral:rRNA from 1 species
GGGCCCGCACAAGCGGUGGAGCAUGUGGUUUAAUUCGAUGAUACGCGAGGAACCUUACCAGGGCUUAAAUGCAGAACGACCGGGGUGGAAACACCUCCUUCUUCGGACGGUCUGCAAGGUGCUGCAUGGUUGUCGUCAGCUCGUGCUGUGAAGUGUCGGGUUAAGUCCCAUAACGAGCGCAACCCCUAUUUCUAGUUGCCAGCGGUUCGGCCGGGGACUCUAGAGAAACUGCCAGCGUAAGCUGUGAGGAAGGUGGGGAUGACGUCAAAUCAUCACGGCCCUUACGUCCUGGGCUACACACGUGCUACAAUGGUAGGGACAGAGAGCAGCCACUACGCGAGUAGGAGCG